rnacentral:rRNA from 1 species
UAGGGAAUAUUGGACAAUGGGUGAGAGCCUGAUCCAGCCAUGCCGCGUGCAGGAAGAAGGCGUUAUGCGUUGUAAACUGCUUUUGCCAGGGGAUAAAAUGAGCAUGCGUGCUUAAUUGAAGGUACCUGGUGAAUAAGCCACGGCUAACUACGUGCCAGCAGCCGCGGUAAUACGUAGGUGGCAAGCGUUGUCCGGAUUUAUUCGGUUUAAAGGGUGCGUAGGUGGCCCUGUAAGUCAGUGGUGAAAUAUCUCAGCUUAACUGAGAGGGUGCCAUUGAUACUGCAGGGCUUGAGUACAGAUGAGGUAGGCGGAAUUGACGGUGUAGCGGUGAAGUGCGCAGAUAUCAGGAGGAACACCAGUGGCGAAGGCGCCACUCUGGGCCGUAACUGACGCUGAGGAGCGAAAGCGUGGGGAGCAAACAGGAUUAGAUACCCUUGUAGUCCCUGAGCGGGCUGGCAAGGCGCAU